CAAGUCGAACGGCAACGGGGACUUCGGUCCGCCGGCGAGUGGCGAACGGGUGAGUAAUGUAUCGGAACGUACCUUUCAGUGGGGGAUAACGUAGCGAAAGUUACGCUAAUACCGCAUAUUCUCUGAGGAGGAAAGCAGGGGACCUUUGGGCCUUGUGCUGAUGGAGCGGCCGAUAUCAGAUUAGCUAGUUGGUGAGGUAAAGGCUCACCAAGGCGACGAUCUGUAGCGGGUCUGAGAGGAUGAUCCGCCACACUGGGACUGAGACACGGCCCAGACUCCUACGGGAGGCAGCAGUGGGGAAUUUUGGACAAUGGGCGCAAGCCUGAUCCAGCCAUGCCGCGUGAGUGAAGAAGGCCUUCGGGUUGUAAAGCUCUUUCGGACGGGAAGAAAUUGGUGGGGCUAAUAUCCCCAUCGGAUGACGGUACCGUAAUAAGAAGCACCGGCUAACUACGUGCCAGCAGCCGCGGUAAUACGUAGGGUGCGGGCGUUAAUCGGAAUUACUGGGCGUAAAGCGUGCGCAGGCGGUUUAGUAAGACAGGCGUGAAAUCCCCGGGCUUAACCUGGGAACUGCGCUUGUGACUGCUAAGCUAGAGUACGGCAGAGGGGGGUGGAAUUCCACGUGUAGCAGUGAAAUGCGUAGAGAUGUGGAGGAACACCAAUGGCGAAGGCAGCCCCCUGGGUCGAUACUGACGCUCAUGCA
rnacentral:rRNA from 1 species